rnacentral:lncRNA from 10 species
GAUUUGUGUUGGUAGCUGUUUGCAAUUCAAAUUAGUUUGUCAAGUGGUUUCAGAUUCUUCAAUCAGGGUCCUGAAGUUAACCUGGGGACACUGAGUGAAGGCUGUAAUUGCAAAGAUGUUUUCACAUGGGUGAAUUGGAAGCCCUAUGGAUGAAAAGCAAACGACGGAAUAGGGCCCUGGAUUGCUUGGCUGAAUGGAAGGGAAAAUGAAACAGUGAGUCGGUUGUCAUUUUCUCUCAAGCGAGGCAAAGUCACUGAAGGGAUCAGAGAAAGGUUUAAAUGUGGAACGAUCAAUCUUAGAUGUGAUCUGGACUUCAGUUGAGUGGAAUUUCUUGAAUCCUUGAUGUGAAUGAGGAAUGCGGAGGAGCCCAUGCAAAAGCAGAUUUACUGGAAAGGAGAACUGGAAAUUUCAAGGGAGCUGAAGACUAUAGGAUGUCAACUGUGGAUACAACUCACAAGCUACCAUAUUGAUGUGACAUGAUGAAGUGGGAAGGAAAGCCAUCUGGAGUUUCACUGGUGAAUUGAUACAUCUUGCACUUAACAUUGUGUAUCCCCUGGACUUUGAUCAAAUGGACAUGGGCUUUCUGAUCUACUGCAGAGUGCCUGGAAAUUCAGGCUCCUAGGAGGAAGGAACUUGCAUUAUCUCAGGUGAGACUUUGGACUUGGACUUUUGGAUUAAUGCUGGAGUGAUAUAAGACUUUGGGGGACUGUUGGGAAGGCCUGAUUGUGUUUUGAAAUGUGAGAACAUGAGAUUUGAGAGGGUCCAGGGGUGGAAUGAUAUGGUUUGGCUGUGACCCCACCCAAAUCUCAUCUUGAAUUGUAAUCCCGAUAAUCCCACCUGUUGAGAAGGGGCCUGGUAAAUGAUGGGAUCAUGGAGGCAUUUUCCCCCAUGCUGUUCUCAUGAUAGUGAGUUCUCAGGAGAUCUGAUGGUUUUAUAAAUGGCAGUUUCCCCUAAGCUUUUCUCUCUCUUCUGCUGCCUUGUGAAGAGGUACUUGCUUCUCCUUCACCUUCCAUCAUGAUUGUAAGUUUCCUGAGGCCUCCCCAGCCAUGUGGAACUGUGAGUCAAUUAAACCUGUUUCCUUUAUAAAUAAGUCAGUCUCAGCUACUUCUUUAUAGCAGUGUGAGAAUGGAGUAAUAAACCAUCCAUGACAAUAUUCUUUGAUUUUUACCUGGUUCACUAAUUUUAACUUAGUUAUAAUUUUAAAUAAUUAUAAGUAAAGAUCCUUCCUGAUUUCCAGGUGAUAAACUGGGGCACAGAAUCGUUAUUCAGUCCAGAAAGAGGAAGAAAAAUAACCCAGGGGGAUGCCAGUCUGAGGCAGCCACUUCCAGAGACUGUGGGCCAGCUCUGAGAAAUGUCCAGAUUAGAUAAACUGUAUCUGGAAAGAUAAUCUUGUCCCAUGACUGCAACAGACCACUUGAAUUUACCUGCCUGGUUUAUUCAGAUUUUAUGCCUAGAAAUCCCCGGAAUACACCAGAAAAUCCCAAGUUGUUCUGAGACUGAGUACCUAAAGUUGCUGGGUCAAGAGAGUAUUUUUUUAAAUGAAAGACACUUGAACAUAUCUCUAUAUUAAGUGGUAGAGGCAGAAGAGAGAAAGCAAUUAAAGAUAGAGGAGAAACAAUAGCCACAAGCUAGAAACAACUCAACCAUCAUGAAAAUGCUUAAACAAAAACUGCUGCAUCCAUACAAUGGAAUACAACUCAGUAAUAAAAAGGCACAAUCAACUGCUGCUACCCACAAAAUGGAUGACUUGUAAAAUCAUUAUGCUGAGUAAAAAAGCCAGACACAAAACAGUACGUACUACAUAAGUACACUUACGUGAAAUUCUAGAAAAUGCAAACUAAUUUAUAGUGACAGAAAGGAGAUCAGUGGUUGUCUAAGGUUAGAAGCAGAGAGAAAGGAAUGAACAGCAAAGAGGCACAAGGAAACUUUUGGAGGUG